AGAGUUUGAUCCUGGCUCAGAAUCAACGCUGGCGGCGCGCUUAACACAUGCAAGUCGCACGAGAAAGUGGAGCAAUCCAUGAGUAAAGUGGCGUACGGGUGAGUAACACGUGGAUCAUCUACCUCUUAGUGGGGAAUAACCCUGGGAAACCGGGGCUAAUACCGCAUAAGCCUGAGAAGGGAAAGCAGCAAUGCGCUGAGAGAGGAGUCCGCGGCCGAUUAGCUAGUUGGUAGGGUAAUGGCCUACCAAGGCAAUGAUCGGUAGCCGGCCUGAGAGGGCACACGGCCACACUGGCACUGAAACACGGGCCAGACUCCUACGGGAGGCAGCAGUGGGGAAUCUUGCACAAUGGAGGAAACUCUGAUGCAGCGACGCCGCGUGAGCGAUGAAGCCCUUCGGGGUGUAAAGCUCUUUCGACGGGAACGAUAAUGACGGUACCCGGAGAAGAAGCUGCGGCUAACUACGUGCCAGCAGCCGCGGUAAUACGUAGGCAGCAAGCGUUGUUCGGAAUUACUGGGCGUAAAGAGUGUGUAGGCGGUUCUCUAUGUUCGGUGUGAAAUCUCCCGGCUUAACUGGGAGGGUGCGCCGAAAACUGGAGGGCUUGAGUAUGGGAGAGGAAAGCGGAAUUCCUGGUGUAGCGGUGAAAUGCGUAGAUAUCAGGAGGAACACCUGCGGUGUAGACGGCUUUCUGGACCAUCACUGACGCUGAGACACGAAAGCGUGGGUAGCAAACAGGAUUAGAUACCCUGGUAGUCCACGCCCUAAACGAUGCAUACUUGGUGUGAGCCGUUCAUUCGGUUCGUGCCGGAGCUAACGCGUUAAGUAUGCCGCCUGGGGAGUACGGUCGCA
rnacentral:rRNA from 1 species